AAAAGAAGCGCGUGUGACGUUUGGAGCUAUGCGGUAUAUAAUACAUCUCAAUCCUAAAGACUGGAGUCGGACUGAAGAACAACGUGUUCCACAGAAUUACAGAGGAUUCCUCACCUUUGCUGGGCAUUUUGUGUGCUGCUGGAGGGUGAGGCCUCUCUUGCCUUUCUCUGUCUCCCUGCUCUGCUCAAAACGAUGGAGCUUUUUUGGCCUGCGCUGUGCUAAAGACAGCCCCCAACCCACUGGCUAAAAAUAGCAUCACCGCUUUCCCCAACCAAGAAGACAGAGGCUAAUCUACUGUACCAACACAAUCAUAUAAACAUUAAAUUCAGGUAGUCCUCUACUUACGAUGGAGAUACGUUAGAGGACCCCAUCAUUAGUCAAAAAUAUCCAAGAGACAUACUUGGGUGCUUGGACGACAUGCCUUUAUCACUAAAAUUGCUGUUUGAAACUGUUUGUAACAGAAAAAAGCAAGAGUGGGGCAUCUCACAGGGCGAGAGAUACGCUCAUCCCAGCUGCGUGUUCAAAGCAUCGUACAUCAUACGCUGCUGCCAUGUGGCUGUUGUGUGAAAUUUUUAUAUUUUUACAAUUUUAUCUUAUCGCUAUCAUCAUUGUAAGAUUGAAAAAUCGAAAGUAACCUAUGCCCUGACUGGAUGACUCUAGAGUCCGAUUGUGGCUCUCCACUAGCUCAGGAAGUUGGUUUUCCACAACCCGCUGCUCCUCCUCUCCGCUCAAGAAGUUAAGAGGGUCCCAUUCGACAGCAG